CAAUUGAUUAGUUUCUAUUGUAGAUUUUGUAUUUAGAGAGAGAUUUGGGGGAACCUUUCAAAUAAAAUAAUAUGUUCAUCAUAAAUAUGGUUUCCGUUUUUAGUGCAAAAAUCAUCAUGAAUAUGGUUAUUAAUACCGCAAAAUCAUUUCGAAAAUCUCAGAAUAUUCAGCUCGCAAAUCAGCUAAUUUUUAGGGAUCCUAUAAGUUAAAUUUGUUGAAUAAUCGUGGAAACAAAUUUUAGA
rnacentral:lncRNA from 1 species